rnacentral:lncRNA from 1 species
GGUGGUAUUCUCGAAAGCGGCCUAAGUUAAAUCAGUGGCCUAAACCUGGUUUAAACCAUGGACUAUCUUUUUUGCUAUUCUCGAAGGUGGCCUAAAGAUAAGCCAGGCUUAAAUACGUCAUAGUUCGGCCUAACUUUAGGCGGCUCAGAGGGCAGGUUUAAAUACGUCAUAGUUCGGCCUAACUUCGCGUGACGUCACUUUUUAGUUAAAUCGACUGUCCGCGGAGAGUGAACGGUUCUUUUCAAUUGAUGCAUGGGGAUGAAAAAAGAAGGCCUCUCCCAAGCUAUGGUGUCCCGCCUUGUGAAGUCCAUCUCAAUAGCCAUUGCCAGGAGAUGGGAGCAAUACAUCUCAAUUCCUUCAACAAGAGAGGCAGUCCUGCAGAGUGCAGACCCAACAUGAAUGUUAUAAUUACUGCCAUUUCCCUGGCGUUAAUAUGGUGCACCCACAUAGGCAUCUCCAAGCCAGUUGGCCCAACACCAGUUAUUUCCUGAACAGGAAAAAUAGAUACUCCAUUUUUCUUGGAAAGUCUGCUGGAUGAUGUUUUUCUUCAGUAAGAUAAAUGAAGGCAAAUUCCCUGAUAACUGAGACAAAUUCAGAGAGAGGAAGGAGAACUACUGAGCUGCUGAAUUUCUGACAGACAUACUUGCAAGGACUAUGAAGUUCUACUUAGCCUCUUCAAUGAACCAGACUCCAUCUGCUGUAACUGUGACUGCGUGGGGAUCAAAACCUUUGUAUUAUAAUCCUCAUAACAUGAAGCUAUGGUAACAAACAAGCAACCAUUGAUAAAAAGCCUGAUAUAUCCUUGUUGUAUGUGUGAACCACAAAGCAACCAUCACUCAUAAGGAUGUUUUUAUGUACAUCAGAUCUUCAUUGUUUCACUGGAAAAUUGUGAUUUUGAAUCAUUUCAGAAAUCAUGUUUUGUAAUGUGUUUUAUAACAUAGUGCAAGUCAUGAUAUAACAGAUUCCCUGCAAAAGAAACAUGGCUCAAAAGUAGACUAUGCUUUGUUUUAAAAAAAUGGGAAAAAGUAAUGU